AGUGAACGCUGGCGGUAGGCCUAACACAUGCAAGUCGAACGGCAGCACAGUAAGAGCUUGCUCUUACGGGUGGCGAGUGGCGGACGGGUGAGGAAUACAUCGGAAUCUACUUUUUCGUGGGGGAUAACGUAGGGAAACUUACGCUAAUACCGCAUACGACCUACGGGUGAAAGCAGGGGAUCUUCGGACCUUGCGCGAUUGAAUGAGCCGAUGUCGGAUUAGCUAGUUGGCGGGGUAAAGGCCCACCAAGGCGACGAUCCGUAGCUGGUCUGAGAGGAUGAUCAGCCACACUGGAACUGAGACACGGUCCAGACUCCUACGGGAGGCAGCAGUGGGGAAUAUUGGACAAUGGGCGCAAGCCUGAUCCAGCCAUACCGCGUAGGUGAAGAAGGCCUUCGGGUUGUAAAGCCCUUUUGUUGGGAAAGAAAAGCAGCAGGUUAAUACCCCGCGGUUCUGACGGUACCCAAAGAAUAAGCACCGGCUAACUUCGUG
rnacentral:rRNA from 1 species